ensembl:snoRNA Gm26342 small nucleolar RNA SNORA17
CCUGCCCCUAGAGGAAUUGCAGGUGUGGCUGCAUCACAUGUGCAUCAGUAGGUGGCAGAGAAGAGAGGCUAUAUCUCUUCAAUCAGUGCUCCAAUCCAUGAACAUCUGAAUGAUUAGGAGCCUAACACU